UCACAUUUCUGAGAAUAUAGUUCCCAGUAUGUAUACAGUUAGAAGAUGGCUGUGUCUCAUGUGACCUUCCUAUUUGUACACCCUGUGACUAUACAAAUAUGUAAAGAGGAACAUGUUGGUGUUAUUUUGUCACUUAUUGGGAGCCGGUUACCUCCAGGAUCUGUGCUGAGGUGGGCUAGCGGUGGGUGCGUCAGACAGAGUUACGACACACGGCGAUGAGAAGGGUAUGUAUGGACUUAUCUACCUCUGGGGAUACGGAGAAUAAGCUAAAGUCCCAAUAAGUCGGUGUGU